UAUGUUGUGGUCCGUGUUGGUGCUCGUGGGCUCGAAUCCACGGGCUGAAAAGGGAACCCGGCGCACAUCCGGGGCUGCCCCGCAGCGGUAAUCGAGAACGACCUCCACGUAGCGCACUGGCCUCGGUCACGAGGACUGGGAAGCGGUGGAGUGUAGGAAGCCGGCGACGCCGGAGCGCUCGUAAGCCCGAAGACCUGCCAGCAUCCGGCGACGGGA
rnacentral:ncRNA from 2 species